AGGAAUAUUGGUCAAUGGGCGCAAGCCUGAACCAGCCAUCCCGCGUGAAGGAAGAAGGCGCUAUGCGUUGUAAACUUCUUUUCCAGGGGGAGAAUUUUUCCGUCGUGACGGGAAUUGACGGUACUCUGGGAAUAAGCAUCGGCUAACUCCGUGCCAGCAGCCGCGGUAAUACGGAGGAUGCGAGCGUUAUCCGGAUUUAUUGGGUUUAAAGGGUGCGUAGGCGGAUAGAUAAGUCAGUGGUGAAAUUCUGCAGCUUAACUGUAGACUUGCCGUUGAUACUGUCAGUCUUGAGUAUGGUCAAGGCAGGCGGAAUGUGUAAUGUAGCGGUGAAAUGCUUAGAUAUUACACAGAACACCGAUUGCGAAGGCAGCUUGCUGGGCCAUUACUGACGCUGAUGCACGAAAGCGUGGGGAUCGAACAG
rnacentral:rRNA from 1 species